UGUCAAUAAAGAAAUUUAGCCAGUUGAAUGU
rnacentral:piRNA from 2 species